rnacentral:rRNA from 1 species
UGAACGCUGGCGGCGUGCCUAAUACAUGCAAGUCGAGCGAACAGACGAGGAGCUUGCUCCUUUGCCGUUAGCGGCGGACGGGUGAGUAACACGUGGAUAACCUACCUAUAAGACUGGGAUAACUUCGGGAAACCGGAGCUAAUACCGGAUAACAUGUUGAACCGCAUGGUUCAACAGUGAAAGACGGUCUUGCUGUCACUUAUAGAUGGAUCCGCGCCGCAUUAGCUAGUUGGUAAGGUAACGGCUUACCAAGGCAACGAUGCGUAGCCGACCUGAGAGGGUGAUCGGCCACACUGGAACUGAGACACGGUCCAGACUCCUACGGGAGGCAGCAGUAGGGAAUCUUCCGCAAUGGGCGAAAGCCUGACGGAGCAACGCCGCGUGAGUGAAGAAGGUCUUCGGAUCGUAAAACUCUGUUAUUAGGGAAGAACAAAUGUGUAAGUAACUAUGCACGUCUUGACGGUACCUAAUCAGAAAGCCACGGCUAACUACGUG